rnacentral:rRNA from 1 species
UACGGAGGGUGCGAGCGUUAAUCGGAAUUACUGGGCGUAAAGGGUGCGUAGGUGGUUGAAUAAGUUAUCUGUGAAAGUCCUGGGCUUAACCUAGGGAAGUCAGAUAAGACUGUUGAGCUAGAGUAUGGGAGAGGGUAGUAGAAUUUCCGGUGUAGCGGUGAAAUGCGUAGAGAUCGGAAGGAAUACCGGUGGCGAAGGCGGCUACCUGGCCUAAUACUGACACCGAGGCACGAAAGCGUGGGGAGCAAACAGG